GAGCCAUGCUGCUGAAGCUUUAUGGACAUGCAAGCCUUCAGCUUUGUGCUAUUGAUCAUAAGCCACUGCAUUUCCAUUGGGCCAUGCUGCUGAAGCUUUAGCCUUCCAAAGAAGAAUUAAAGAGGCUGCGCAUGUUCAGUGUCAGGUAUACAUAUCUCAAAUCUUCACUAUAGUUUCUACACUUCUAUGCUUUGAAUAUGCCAUUGGCUUAAUGUUUCUGGUCGAGCGUCAAGCGAUAGAAACAACCAGUUUCUGGGAGAGACAACAUACCAAUGGAUGGGUUGCAAUACUUUUCAGUGCCAUGAGGUGGGAUCUCAAGAUGAAGAGAGACAAGGAGCGUCAGCUCAGGGCGGCUGAAGCCACAGCCUGUGGAGCGGCCGAUGGCGAGGACGUGGAUCCCACUUUAUGAAUCAUCCCUACAUCUCCAAAGAGUGGCCAUAAUCACUACCAGGAAGGAUAUGCAGUAUUGGAGAAUUAAACCUAUACAACUGAGAAACUAAAUAAUUGGGUCUCGGAUUCUGGAGACGAACAAAUGUUCUACCAUGCAUCAUAAAGUGGAAUUCAGAGUUUCAAGUGACCGAGAGUCGGAGUUUCAGAAGCUUGAAAACCUUAUUAGCGUGCCAUGCCUACUCUAAUCAAUCAUAAGAGUUACAUAUAUGCUUACUGAGUUAUUUAUAUGUGUUCAUAAAAUCGAUUGCUUAGGCUUCUUAUGCAUUGAAAAAAAUAGUGAACUUCUUGCUGCAUGAUACUGCCAUCCAGAGUUUCUUUGUAAUGUUAUCUAUUGGUAUGCACUGGCAGUGAUAUGUUCAUUGGCUAUUCUGUUCUGAUGGUGAAAUCCUAUGAGUGGAUAUUGCUGGUUUCCCAAAAUAAAUUUGGCUUAGGAAGGAACAUCAUGGAGACCGCUUGCCGCAUAAGAAGCUGGAGCGGCAAGUUUGGUGUGGCUGCUCCUCCAUGCAAAGGCUGAGGUCCAACACUGACCGCAUGCAAGCCCCAUGGCAUUCACCGCUUCUCUACGUGUUGCUGGAGGAUGGCUCACAGCAUGCGAAGCAUUUAGCUUAGGAACAUAAAUAACUCGAUUGCCGUUGCUGGUUGGGUAAAUUGCGGACAACUGUCAUAUCAGACAACAGGGAGAUUGUUCCGCUUUUCAGCAUUCUACCGGGAACAUUUUUACCGCGUGAGGUUACAUCGAAGUUACAGGUUCCAUUCUUCAUUAUCUCUUCUCUUUUUAUUCUGGAUGCUCCAUAUUUCUACAAUGUGUUCUCACAUUGUGAUUUAUUUUUUGUUUGAACUAAAUUUUCUCUUAAACGAGAAGAACUAUUCUAUCAGACUGAAAAAUAAUUAGAUUGCCUCUUCGUUAUACAAUCUAAGAUUUACUAACAAGUCUUAUUUGAACGGUCCACACACUAAUUGAGAUGUCAUUAUUUUAACUGGUUGUUUUGAUGGAUCUGUUUCGUUGCAUUUCCAGUAGUGUUUGUGAAGGGAGUUAGCAUACAUAUGGUCUAACCCAAAAGGUUUCUUUGUAGUCUGGUGCCCCAUCAGCCUAGGUUACCAGCUGGCAGUCAGUUAAAUUGUGUUCCUUUGCCAGGUAAUUUUACUAUAGAUAAAUGCAGUAUGCCAGAUAUAUCUUUACUAUGUAUUGUUGUUUCAUAUUCAUCGUUUUCGGUUCCUAAUUCACCAGUACUUCUAUCUUUGUUACUAUGAUUGGCAAAUUCAUACAUUCCAUAUAUUUAGUAUUUCUUUUCUGCAAUGUUGAAUAAUUGUGUCCUUGAAUGAAUCUGAUAUCCUUUUGUUUACUAUGGUUAUAUUUUUGCAGGUCCAGAUAACCCAAUGAUAUUUAAUAUCACACUUGAUAGUUCCAGAUUUUGGAAGAUCAACUGGGUUCAUAUGCCUCCUCAAUGUUUUCGAUUAACAAACAUAUUUUUACAAGUACAGUAACUGUUGAGGUAGUGAUUACGGAUGAUUUGCAUGAUCAUGCUAUCAAUUAACACUGUAAGAUUGUACAUAACAAAAGCCAAACACUACUUUAUAUAUGUGAUAAUUUUUUGUUCCUAUCAUGCACUUAAAACGCUUUCCACAAUUAUUGAUAACUCUGGUUAAGCAUCGACAGCAUGAGAUCUUUGGAGACUGUUGUUCUGGUGUAGAGAAAAAUAGUUAAGUUGUACGAGGCCAAAGUUGCUGGCUAUCUGAUACAUUAUAGGCACACAAGCUGCUAUUAUUUGUUGAUUCAAUUCCAUUAUUAUUUUUUGCCUUUUGUAGAAAUUGGAGUUUAUAUGCAGCAGCUCCGAAUGAAUCAAAAUAAUAUCUCUGCUAUGCUUUUUGCAAGGAUUAGGAUUUCUAUUCCUCAUGUGCAUUAUUACUCCAUAAACAAUCUCACUAACAAACGAACUGAAUCUGAGCCAUCCUACUAUUCAUUCUUAGUGUUUCAUUUCGUUGGUGAACUACCUUAGUUCCU